CAGGACAGGUACAGCACAGGCAGUGACAGUGCGAGCUUUCGCCACACCUCCCUGUCCACGUGCUUCAACCCUGACCUGGAGGGACCACCUCUAGA
ensembl:misc_RNA